CCCUCGGACUGUUAUAUCAAAUGAGAGUAGCUUAUAAGUUUAUUUAUAGCGAAAUUAGACAGGUUGAACAGGGAA
rnacentral:sRNA from 12 species